rnacentral:rRNA from 1 species
GAUGAACGCUAGCUACAGGCUUAACACAUGCAAGUCGAGGGGUAACGAGAGGAAAGCUUGCUUUCCUUGUCGACGACCGGCGCACGGGUGAGUAACGCGUAUCCAACCUGCCCCCAACUAAGGAAUAACCUUGCGAAAGUAAGACUAAUACCUUAUAAUUUCCUCAGAUGUCAUCUGACGAGGAAUAAAGAUUUAUCGGUUGUGGAUGGGGAUGCGUCUGAUUAGCUUGUUGGCGGGGUAACGGCCCACCAAGGCAACGAUCAGUAGGGGUUCUGGGAGGAAGGUCCGCCACAUUGGAACUAAGACACGGUCCAAACUCCUACGGGAGGCAGCAGUGAGGAAUAUUGGUCAAUGGGCGAAAGCCUGAACCAGCCAAGUAGCGUGCAGGAUGACGGCCCUAUGGGUUGUAAACUGCUUUUAUACAGGAAUAAAGUUAGCCACGUGUGGUUAUUUGUAGGUACUGUAUGAAUAAGGACCGGCUAAUUCCGUGCCAGCAGCCGCCGUAA